rnacentral:lncRNA from 1 species
UGGAUAUUCAUGCCCGAACUUCUACAUGACAUCCCAUCAUUUAAUGGUAUUCCAAGUCCUGGCCUCUGGUUUUCCCCGUGCUCAAGUAACUCAACUGAGGGCAAAAUCUGGAAGUUCCUUAAUGGCGAAUUGCCCUAAAUCUUUGGAGCCACUUUUCUAAAGUGUCUUAUUCAUAUGAAAGCAGAUUGACAUCUAGUGCUUCUGUAAUUUUACUUGAGUGAGCCACAUCUUAUUCUCUUUUUCGGACUCUCCUAUCCUUCACCAACCAAUUAUUUGGAUGUGUGACUAUCUACAGGAGGUCACACUGAAAGGAUGGGUAUGGAUGA